rnacentral:tRNA from 1 species
UGCAUCGGCCAGGAAUCGAACCCGAGCCGCCGGCGUGGCAGGCGAGCAUUCUACCACUGAACCACCGAUGG